rnacentral:rRNA from 1 species
GGUUAAGCGACUAAGCGUACACGGUGGAUGCCCUGGCAGUCAGAGGCGAUGAAGGGCGUGCUAAUCUGCGAUAAGCGCCGGUAAGGUGAUAUGAACCGUUAUAACCGGCGAUACCCGAAUGGGGAAACCCAGUGUGACUCGUCACACUAUCAUUAACUGAAUCCAUAGGUUAAUGAGGCGAACCGGGGGAACUGAAACAUCUAAGUACCCCGAGGAAAAGAAAUCAACCGAGAUUCCCCCAGUAGCGGCGAGCGAACGGGGAGGAGCCCAGAGCCUGAAUCAGCAUGUGUGUUAGUGGAAGCGUCUGGAAAGGCGCGCGAUACAGGGUGACAGCCCCGUACACAAAAGCGCAUGUGCUGUGAGCUCGAUGAGUAGGGCGGGACACGUGGUAUCCUGUCUGAAUAUGGGGGGACCAUCCUCCAAGGCUAAAUACUCCUGACUGACCGAUAGUGAACCAGUACCGUGAGGGAAAGGCGAAAAGAACCCCGGCGAGGGGAGUGAAAAAGAACCUGAAACCGUGUACGUACAAGCAGUGGGAGCACAGGUUUACCUGUGUGACUGCGUACCUUUUGUAUAAUGGGUCAGCGACUUAUAUUCUGUAGCAAGGUUAACCGCAUAGGGGAGCCGGAGGGAAACCGAGUCUUAAUUGGGCGUUAAGUUGCAGGGUAUAGACCCGAAACCCGGUGAUCUAGCCAUGGGCAGGUUGAAGGUUGGGUAACACUAACUGGAGGACCGAACCGACUAAUGUUGAAAAAUUAGCGGAUGACCUGUGGCUGGGGGUGAAAGGCCAAUCAAACCGGGAGAUAGCUGGUUCUCCCCGAAAGCUAUUUAGGUAGCGCCUCGUGAAUUCAUCUCCGGGGGUAGAGCACUGUUUCGGCUAGGGGGCCAUCCCGGCUUACCAACCCGAUGCAAACUGCGAAUACCGGAGAAUGUUAUCACGGGAGACACACGGCGGGUGCUAACGUCCGUCGUGAAGAGGGAAACAACCCAGACCGCCAGCUAAGGUCCCAAAGUCAUGGUUAAGUGGGAAACGAUGUGGGAAGGCCCAGACAGCCAGGAUGUUGGCUUAGAAGCAGCCAUCAUUUAAAGAAAGCGUAAUAGCUCACUGGUCGAGUCGGCCUGCGCGGAAGAUGUAACGGGGCUAAACCAUGCACCGAAGCUGCGGCAGCGACACUCAGGUGUUGUUGGGUAGGGGAGCGUUCUGUAAGCCUGCGAAGGUGGCCUGUGAGGGUUGCUGGAGGUAUCAGAAGUGCGAAUGCUGACAUAAGUAACGAUAAAGCGGGUGAAAAGCCCGCUCGCCGGAAGACCAAGGGUUCCUGUCCAACGUUAAUCGGGGCAGGGUGAGUCGACCCCUAAGGCGAGGCCGAAAGGCGUAGUCGAUGGGAAACGGGUUAAUAUUCCCGUACUUGGUGUUACUGCGAAGGGGGGACGGAGAAGGCUAUGUUGGCCGGGCGACGGUUGUCCCGGUUUAAGCGUGUAGGUGUGUGUUCCAGGUAAAUCCGGUU